AUCCCUUCGGGGACAUUCAAUAAAAUUGAAAUAAUACAUAGAAGAUUAGCAUGGCUCCUGCGCAAGAAUGACAUGCAUAAAUCGAGAAAUGGUCCAAAUUUCU